rnacentral:lncRNA from 1 species
AAAACAUGACAAGUACUUCAAAGUAGUAAUAGCGCUAGUUGACCAAUAUCUUAAACUGCUCAUGUAAACGAGCUGUUAAAUAAAUACUUUGCUGGUAGCCAAGCCCAACACGUAAUUAACUGGGCCUAUUAGGCAGGCUAGAAAGGACCAGAUCGGUUGAUCCGUUGAUCGGAGAAGGGGAGGACACGGACACAGGGGAAAUAAAAUAUCGAACAGACAAGGUUCUUCUCCGUUGCUGUUCCAUACGGAAACAGUUUCCCCAAAUCACGAGUGCUACCAAGCGCCGGAGAUUGUCACCGGGAGGGGGGUUGGCGGGCCGCGUCCCGGCGGGCGCCGCCGGUCGGAAUCGGCUACCGCGACUCAUUCGGCCGAGCCGCUGGGGGGGCUCGCUAGGAGGCAGCGGCCAUGGGUGCGGCUGCAUCGCAGGGAUGCGAGCGGGAGCAGCGUCCGCCGCCGUCUCUCCCUCGCGGCGCUGCGCCUUGGGCGGUCGCUCCACUGCGGACGACGCCGCACCGUGAGGAGCCGCAGACCGAGGUCCCACGGUCCCGGGUGCCGCUGCGCCGCUCUGACGCAGGUCGGCUGUCGGCUUGGGCGCAUGGUGCGACGUGCCGGUCGAAGAACGGGUCUGAGGCCGAGGAGCCUUUCCGUUGUCCGAUGUUAUCAAGGUGAUAAGAACAUCUUGAAUCGGAGGUCACUUUGGUGCUCACCUUGUUGGUUCGAGGUCUUCGAUUUUUAGUGGUUCUUACCUAUUAGCAUAGCAGAUGUAUGCCUCUGUUCUUCCCGUUCCUCUCUGUUCUUCUUUUCUUCUUGAAAUCGAGAUCGCUCAGUUGAGAGCGUGCUGAUAACGUGUUGAACGUAAACGAGAGAAUGUGAAACUUGUCUAUUGCAUUGAUCCU